rnacentral:lncRNA from 1 species
CUAAUUUGGGUGUUGCCCAAAAAGUAGUGAUGCUCGACAUGAUAUUCCUAUUUAAAAGUUUUUGAUCUUUUUAAACAACCAAAUGUUCUAGUCGAACCUUUCUUACGUGUAACUUCGUCUUCAAUUCGUGCAGUAAGUUCUCCUACAUCACUUAAAAAGACUUAUUUUAUACACUUCAAUCAUGUAAAUAUAUUAGCCAAAUCUCCUUUAAAGAACAAUUUGUUUUGGCCUUUCACUUUCUAUGUCACUUAUGUUUCACACUAGGAACAUACCAUUUAGAGCGAAAAAGUCUUUCAUAAUCACAAACGCAGCAUCUCCUCAGGGUUGGACCUUGGUUUGUGCAAGGAGCUCAAUAGAACUGGGUCUCCCCAAUGUAUCGACCUCAAAAAAAAAUUAGGCCUAUUAGAAUUGGGUCCUCUUGCUUUUGGUGUUAGGUGGAUGUUUUUUUUAAGAGGGUUUGAGGUUCCUCAUGUAUACGGUAAUGAUUUUCACCUUUAGGUGUACCGCAUAUAUACUGCACCUUGUAUUUAUCUUUUAAAAAAUUUAAAUAUAACAUUAUUAUUUUAAGAAAAAAAUACAUUUUUAUUUUAUUAUAGGCCUCUUUUCAUUUACAGAGCCUAUUGCCUGAAAACCGUUUCCGGGUCGAUGAACUAAUGACCUUACCUGCCCCAUGCGCAAAAAGUUGAACUAUUCUUUUUAUAAUAGGUUGGAUAAGUGAAUUAUAACAAUUUUUGGGGAGAUUGAUUUGCUAAGGACGUUUUCCAUGAAAUAUUUUCUUAUCGUUACUUUUUUUGGUUUUGUCUAUUUGUGUAAACUUGUAAUAAUAUAAAUUUCUCUCACAAUUAUGGGGGUUAUUCAAUAUCUACUUUUAGAGGUACAACAUUGUUGUUGAGUCUAUGAAAAACAGCUUCAAGAGAUUUUGUAUGCAAUUUUAUGGUGAUGGAAGCCGAUCCACUAUUCUAGAAAGUGGGUAUUCUUUGAGGUUACAGACUUUAGGAGUUCACUGAGGUUAGUUCAUGUUAUCGUUAGAACUUAGAACAACAAUUGUUUUAUGUUAGAACAGCAAUUUAGUGCAUAAGAAUUAACAAAACGAUAUAUACAAACAAUGAACGUGAAAUGUUUGCUAAUGAAGUUCGGCCAAUUGUGUUUACGCAUGUGACCAACAAUAGAGCUGUUGUAAUUAUAUUUUAGAAAAUGCUAUCGUGCACGAUAAAUCUAUCGUCAAAUUUGUACGUAUAAAGAUGACCCC